rnacentral:rRNA from 1 species
UACAGAGGGGGCAAGCGUUGUUCGGAAUUACUGGGCGUAAAGGGCGCGUAGGCGGCCGCCUAAGUCAGACGUGAAAUCCCUCGGCUCAACCGGGGAACUGCGUCUGAUACUGGGUUGCUUGAAUUCGGGAGAGGAUAGCGGAAUUCCCAGUGUAGAGGUGAAAUUCGUAGAUAGUUAGGGAAGAACACCGGUGGCGAAGGCGGCCAUCUGGACGGAUACUGACGCGUGAGACGCGAAAGCGUGGGGAGCAAACAGG